GACGAACGCUGGCGGCGUGCUUAACACAUGCAAGUCGAGCGGGGAACUUCGGUUCCCAGCGGCGGACGGGUGAGUAACACGUGGGUAACCUGCCUUACAGUGGGGAAUAGCCUUCCGAAAGGAAGAUUAAUACCGCAUAAUACUCAGAGAUCACAUGACCGUUGAGCCAAAGGAUUUAUUCGCUGUAAGAUGGACCCGCGGCGCAUUAGCUUGUUGGUGAGGUAACGGCUCACCAAGGCUUCGAUGCGUAGCCGAUCUGAGAGGGUGAUCGGCCACAUUGGAACUGAGACACGGUCCAGACUCCUACGGGAGGCAGCAGUGGGGAAUAUUGCACAAUGGAGGAAACUCUGAUGCAGCAACGCCGCGUGAGUGAUGAAGGUCUUCGGAUCGUAAAACUCUGUCUUAUGGGACGAUAAUGACGGUACCAUAGGAGGAAGCCACGGCUAACUACGUGCCAGCAGCCGCCGUAA
rnacentral:rRNA from 1 species